UACGUAGGUGGCAAGCGUUGUCCGGAUUUACUGGGCGUAAAGAGCGCGCAGGCGGUCUAGUAAGUCGAAUGUGAAAGCCCCCGGCUCAACUGGGGAGGGUCACGCGAUACUGCUCGACUCGAAGGCAGGAGAGGGAAGUGGAAUUCCCGGUGUAGUGGUGAAAUGCGUAGAUAUCGGGAGGAACACCAGUGGCGAAGGCGACUUCCUGGCCUGUUCUUGACGCUGAGGCGCGAAAGCUAGGGUAGCAAACGGG
rnacentral:rRNA from 1 species